rnacentral:rRNA from 1 species
GACGAACGCUGGCGGCGUGCUUAACACAUGCAAGUGGUGCGACGAACCAGGGCUUGCCCUGGGGCCAAGCCGCGAACGGGUGAGUAACACGUGAGUAACCUGCCCCGAUGACCGGGACAACCCGAGGAAACUCGGGCUAAUACCGCAUGGAGAUGAUACUAAAGGUGGCCUCUGAAUAUGCUACCGCUAGAAGAUGAGCCUGCGUCUGAUUAGCUAGUUGGAGGGGUAACGGCCCACCAAGGCUUCGAUCAGUAGCCGGGCUGAGAGGAUGAACGGCCACACUGGGACUGAGACACGGCCCAGACUCCUACGGGAGGCAGCAGUGGGGAAUCUUCCGCAAUGGACGAAAGUCUGACGGAGCAACGCCGCGUGAGUGAAGAAGGUUUUCGGAUCGUAAAGCUCUUUCGUUAGGGACGAACGUGUUCUUUGUGAAUAAUGAGGAGUAAUGACGGUACCUAAAUAAGAAGCCACGGCUAACUACGUGCCAGCCGCCGCAGUAAAAC